rnacentral:rRNA from 1 species
UACAGAGGCCUCGAGCGUUAGGCGGAAUCACUGGGCUUAAAGCGUGUGUAGGCGGACGGGUAAGUACCUUGUGAAAUCCCACGGCUCAACCGUGGAACCGCUUGGUAUACUGCUUGCCUUGAGCCACUUAGGGGUUACCGGAACAAAUGGUGGAGCGGUGAAAUGCGUAGAUAUCAUUUGGAACGCCAAUGGUGAAAACAGGUAACUGGGAGUGUGCUGACGCUGAGACACGAAAGCCAGGGGAGCAAACGGG